rnacentral:rRNA from 1 species
CGUGUAGGCGGUAUCAUAAGUCAGAUGUGAAAUUCCAGGGCUUAACCUUGGGGCUGCAUUUGAUACGUGUAGACUAGAGUGUGAGAGAGGGUUGUGGAAUUCCCAGUGUAGAGGUGAAAUUCGUAGAUAUUGGGAAGAACACCGGUGGCGAAGGCGGCAACCUGGCUCAUUACUGACGCUGAGGCGCGAAAGCGUGGGGAGCAAACAGGAUUAGAUACCCGCGUA